rnacentral:rRNA from 1 species
UACGUAGGUGGCAAGCGUUGUCCGGAUUUAUUGGGUUUAAAGGGUGCGUAGGCGGUCCUAUAAGUCAGUGCUGAAAUAUCCCGGCUUAACCGGGAGGGUGGCAUUGAUACUGUAGGACUUGAGUAAAGUUGAGGUUGGCGGAAUUGACGGUGUAGCGGUGAAAUGCUUAGAUAUCGUCAAGAACACCUAUUGCGAAGGCAGCUAACUAAGCUUUAACUGACGCUGAGGCACGAAAGUGUGGGAAUCAAACAGG